rnacentral:rRNA from 1 species
GAUGAACGCUGGCGGCACGUCUGACUCAUGCAAGUCGAACGGGAUUCCCGCCUUCGGGCGGGAUGAGAGUGGCGAACGGCUGAGUAACACGUGGGAACUUACCCUCCGGACUGGGAUAACCCUGCGAAAGCGGGGCUAAUACCGGAUAUUACCUUCGGGUUGAAACGGUCCGCCGCCGGGGGAGAGGCCCGCGGCCUAUUAGCUUGCUGGUGGGGUAAUGGCCUACCAGGGCAAUGAUGGGUAGCUGGUCUGAGAGGACGAUCAGCCAGACUGGGACUGUGACACGGCCCAGACUCCUACGGGAGGCAGCAGUUCAGAAUCUUGCGCAAUGGGCGAAAGCCUGACGCAGCGAUGCCGCGUGCGGGAAGAAGGCCUUCGGGUUGUAAACCGCUGUCAGGGGGAACGAAUAAUGACGGUACCCCCAGAGGAAGCCUCGGCUAACUACGUGCCAGCAGCCGCGGUAAAACGUAGGAGGCAAGCGUUAUCCGGAAUUAUUGGGCGUAAAGCGUUCGUAGGCGGCUUGGUAAGUCGGAGGUGAAAUCCCCGGGCUCAACCCGGGAACUGCCUUCGAUACUACCAGGCUCGAGCACAUCAGAGGGUGACGGAAUUCCCGGUGUAGCGGUAAAAUGCUUAGAUAUCGGGAGGAACACCAGUGGCGAAGGCGGUCACCUGGGGUGUGGCUGACGCUGAGGAACGAGAGCCAGGGGAGCGAACGGGAUUAGAUACCCCGGUAGUCCUGGCUGUAAACGAUGGGCACUAAGUGUGGGGAGAUUCGACCCUCUCCGCGCUGCAGCUAACGCAUUAAGUGCCCCGCCUGGGGAGUACGACCGCAAGGUUAAAACUCAAAGGAAUUGACGG